UUACCUCCUCCAGAUAGCUUUGUGAUGUCUUCUUCGCGUUGCAUGCUCGGGUUG
rnacentral:sRNA from 1 species